GGCGGGGAUCAGGCCCAGGUUUCGGUCUAUCUCGGGCUCCGGGCCUCGCCAGCCUGGCCCGUGCUGCUGCGGGGCAGAGCGGCUCUUCCAGCGGGUGGCCGCGGGGGCAGAAACCUCGAGCUGACGGGGUGUGGUGGGGAGCGGGGGCCGCCGGCGGGGGAAGGUGCCGGGCAAGCGGUGAUUCACAGGUGCUGUGUUCUGUGCUGCGCCGCGCUUCUUCUGGGCGCCGGGCUUCAUUGCCGGCUAAUGAGUUGCACUAACGGAGCUUGAGUUUCACAGAUGCGUGGCUAGGCCUCCGUCCUGUGGGAGAUGGUGUAAUGGUCCUGCCCUUCAUCGAUGGAAGUAGGUGUUUUCCCCACCGGACCUGCUCGGGCAUUUAAUAACACUGAGGAGUCCUUAAAGACACCAAGGCAAUGGACAUCAUCUGAGGGCACAAAUUCACCAUGCUGUGCAUGGGAUCCGUUCCCUGAAGACAUUUUCCCUUUUCCUUCCAGCAGUCUCAGGUUUGACUGGAUUCAGCUUUAAUCAGCUGUUCUUCAUCCAGGAUAUACUGAUACUGAGGAAAUGGAAUGCAACUGUCCCUCCUCUGCCGCCGCUUUUUUUUUUUUUUUUUUUAAGCUGCAGGUACCCAUGCUCAGAAUUUUGAGCCAACACUCUGCCUUCUUCCCUCCUCCCUACAAAACUGCCAGUUGGGAUUGAUGGGAGAGGAUGCACUUUAGGCCUUAAUUUUAGCUGGAAUCAAAUAAAAAUAUUGCUGUGUUGGUAACUGAAGAAAAGGUAAAUGAUGUGGUGUAUGUUAGAUCAAAAUGGCAAAGAUGUGUGUUACGCCUCAUGGUUUUUCUUUCAAAUGUAUGUGAAUGUUACAAAAAGCAGUUUUACCAAGUGCUGUAUUCUUUUCCUAGUUUCUUCACUGCCUGAGUCAGUAUCUGCUGGAAUAAUUUGUGCUAAGGAGGAGAAAUUAGGCUGUUUUUUUAAGGUGGGGGUGUGUGUGUAUAAUUGCAGAAGAACAGCUGUCUAAGCUUUUCAAAUUAAAUCUGGCCUAGAUCUGUGCAGCUGGAACCUCUUCAUAUUAAGCAAAAGUGGUAAGUAUUUUGAUGGAGUACUUAGAUAAUGUUUGAUUUGCCUUCUGUGAAAGACUGUUCUGUAUGUUACCUGCUGACAUGUCAGAGAUGAAUCAGCCAACUUUUUCAUCUUUACAACAGACUUCCUGGCCAGCAAACGGCGAAAUGUGGUAGCAGAUUCUAGAAACAACUUUCUUCAGUGGAUGAUGUGUGGGAAGCCUGCUUUGUACACCUUCACUGCCGUCCCCUGUUUUUAGAAAUAUACGAUUUACUUUGAUUCCAAUGUUUUCUUUGCCUAAAGAAAAUAGGUUUCCUCUUCCCACGCAGACAUAGAAGGUUAAUGCUCGUGUCACAGUAAUAGCCAGGAAAGGCCAACUUAAACAAAGCAGGGGACAAUAGCAAUAUCAAGUUGGCUUGUAAGUCUGGUGCGUGAAAAGUGGUAUAGAACAGAUUUUAUUGUAUUACAUAAUUCACUUUUCCCCCCCACCAGUGCGGAGCUUUCCAAUCUUUGUUACUGUCAGUCUGCAGUCAUCUGUGAUGUUUAUUAAUCACAAUUUGCCGUGACCUUCAGAAGUUUUACUUAUAUGUCACGCUGUGCAUCUGUGAAGUGACUUCUAGAAUUUCUGUGUUUUCAGUCACUAAGAGUAUAGUUCCAAGCUACACAACAGGCUCACAUGCUGACACUGUAGUGCUGAUUGUAGCGUUGCAGGAGAUGGUGUUGCAAUAGUGGAAGUGCUGUUAUUUUGGAUAACAUGGUAAUAGUUUUCAAGUGGUUCUGUAGUUGAAGAUGGAGCUUGACACUCCUCAAAAUAAGUAGGUGAAUCCUUUGUCUAUUCUAAUACUGCUUUUGUCUGUAAACCAUUCUCGUGUCUGUACAACAGCUCAGCCCCUAUUAUGUUUGCCUGUACUUGUACUGUUAGUGUAAUCUAACCUUUUAUGAUUUGAAGACACUUCAGACUGUCACAAUUGUGAAAGUAACUGUAGUCCAGUGGUUUUCAAACUUUUUAUUUUUCUGGUGACCCAGAUGAAUAAAACUGAUGCCCACAACCCAAUGGAGCUGGGGAUGAGAGGUUUGGGGUAGGAGAGGGAGCUGGGGGCUGGUGGUGCAGGCUCAGGUGGGACUGGGGAUGAUGGGUGCAGAAGGGAUCAGGGCUCUGGCCUGGGGAUGAGGGACUCUGAGUUUGGGAUGCGGGCUUACCUCCAGCAGCUCCCACUCAGCAGCACAGCUGGGGUGCAGAAGCAGGGUUCCCUCUUGUCCUGGCACCACAGACCAUGCUGUGUCCUGGAAGUAGCCAGCAGGUCCAGCUCCUAGGCAGAGGCACACAAGCAGUCCUGCCCAGCUCUCACGUGCAGGCACUUCAUGCCUCUUGCACACACCCCCACCCCACCCUGCUCCAGGAACCAACCAGUGGGAGUGUGGAGCUGGUGCUUAGGGUGGGGGUAGCACAUGCAGCUCCAUAGCCCACCUGCCUAUGAGCUGGGCCUGCUGGCCGCUUCCAGGGCACAGCAUGGUGUAAGAAUAGGUAAAGAUUACUAGUUUUUACUGCCCGGCCACCAGGGUCCCUGGAUGCUGAACAAGGUGACCCAGUGCCUUGCAUUCUGUGACCUCGUACUGGGUUGUGACCCAAACUUUGAAAGCCACUGCAGUAGUCCGUAUUUUUCAUCUAUCUGACUGAGCAGCUGAAGAAAGUGUCCUUGAAAACAAAACUUCAAGUUUCUGGUGAGCAUACUCUGUUCUGAAUAGAACGAAAUGGUCUGUGUGGAGGUAGAGCCUUCCUGGGAAGGAAACAAAGGCAUUGGGACAGGUAUAAUCCCUUCCUGGCUUUGCAGUAUUUAGGUUAAGAUGAAAACAUAAGCAGAAAUCUACAUAACCAAGUUCAUCUGUAGAAAUGCAAGUAUGAGACUGCAGCUCUUCAGAAUGAAAAUCUUACAUUCUUUAAGGAAAUUCUUGUUCUGUGAAUUGUAACAGUUCACUGCAGCCUCAUGUAAUAAAGCAGAUCCACACCCAAAGUAACUUAGUAGUUCCCAGAUAAGACCUAUGUACACAAAAGUAGAAAAUUCAGAGAUUGUGGUUCCUACUUGAAUUGUAACUUGGCCAUGGUAGAUACAUGUGUUGGGUAUAUAAAUGUUUUUUUAAAAAAUACAGGAACAGCUGCUUUAAAAAAAGAAAAAAACAGAGGAUCCAGCUCAUUUAUGGGCCAAGUCUAAAGUGCAAAGUCCUUUAUCCCAGAUAUCAAAGGAACAUAGAAUUUGAGGUUAGAGCUGCUCAGUAUUUUCCAUAACAUUUUUGAUAGAAAGUGUCCAAGGGACUAUGUCAGUUUUCUCACCAGGAAAUUUUGAAACAAAGUUUUAAAUCAACCUGAGCUGACAGUUUGGUUUUUGGAAACAGAAAAGGGCAGGGAAGAGAACAAAUUCAACCCUUUUUUUACCAGUUGCAAAACUGAGAGGCAUUUAACUUCUUUAGCUGCUGCCUCUUCCCCAUCAUCUCUUCCCCUGCCCUCUUUUUUUAUAAGUGGGGGAGAAGGGAAUACUGAAAAUACACAUGCCAAAAAAAAUGGAACUGACAUUGUCAAAGUGAAAAAUGGCAUAUUUUGGAAGUAAAACUUUAGAAAAAGCUUUGAUUUCUGACAUGUAUCUGAUGAAGUGGCUAUUUGCCCACAAAAGCUUAUGCUCCAAUACGUCUGUUAAGUCUAUAAAGUGCCACAGGACUGUUCUUUUUACAGAUCAAGACUUACACAGCUACCCCUCUGAUACUUGACUAGCUAUAAUUUAUCUUGCAUGGGGAAAAACCUUUGUUUAAAAAGUUUUUAAAUAUAGUUGUCAGAUGCUAGAAUUGAACUAAUUUUAUUGUGUCUUUCAGCUUAAGGAUACCACCGUGCUUUAACUACAGAAGAAUCUCUUCAUGUAUCAUGGACGUGUCUUUCUCCUCAGUUCAAUACCAGUUGUGACAGGAAGUAAAAUAUACUGUAAAUCUUAGGAUUUCUAGGAACUUAAUAGCUGUUGCUGCUUCAGCAGACCCUUACUAGGAACUUCCUGGUAGCAGUGGGGAUACAACUCAGAUCUUCCUGAUCUAGAACUCAAGCCCCUCUCACGUUAGUUAGAUGAGAAUGUUUGUAGCAGAGGGAUUAUCCUGUAUAGUGAAGUUCUUUUCCUUCUAGGAAACAGAACACUUGCAAGUCAGCUCAUUACAAUGUUAUCCAAUAGAAACUUCAAGGAGAGUGAUACUGGUGAUAUGUAACUUCUAAACAUGAAGCUUGCCCUAUCAAUUAACACUUGCCCCCAGGAAAAAAUAGCACUUGCCCCAUGCCUUAUCUUUAUCUGUACCUCCUUUAAGUCAAAGCCAAAUGAUCUGAAGCAGCAGGAAGAGUGCCAAAUGCUGACUUGUCAACAUUAUUACUUCGAAUUGACUGUGGUUUAGAAAGGUCCCCUAGCCAAGUAGUGAUCUAGUGUUACUCUCUAGCUCUCAAUGUAAUAGGCUGACCAUACAAGAUGGUGUGGAUACAACCUGAGCUAGCACACUAACUAUUCCAUGGUUUUGAUAUGCUGAGAACUAUAUUCAAGCCCAAAACAAUUCCUAAGCAGAAAGCUAUUUUGAAGAAGGUUGAAAAUAACCCAUGGAAUUCCAGUUAACACCCCCCCCUCCAUUUUUUUUCCCUGUGCGAUUUCAAGAAAACCCACUUUUUAUAAUCUGGAAAUGAACUUGAGAGAUCUAGUCAUUUCACUACUAUUGUGCAAGUCUUCCUCUACUGCCCACUGAACUUAGCUCCUUAAUUUCCAGAGAUAUCCAUGUAAAGGGGAAACUAGCUGUAUACAGAAGGAAAAACCUAAAUCCUAUUUCCUAUUCAAGAAAUUAUUUUUCAAUACAUUCUAACAGUCCCUUAUCUACAUUAGGAGAGCACAGGAUCUGCCAAAGUUCCAUUAGCUUCCAUAUUGCUCUGCCUUGUCAGAUUCAAUUGCAGGAUUAAGGCCACAGAUCUCAACAACAUUUGUUUAGGGAAAAAAUCCACUAAACUGCAUAUGCUGCUUGAUAUACACUAGCUUUACAUUUGCAUAUUCUCCAUACACUUAUAUAAAACUACACUACAAUAAAUCAAAACUUUACAGAACAGCUAUGUGAGUUGCUCAACGCCACCAGCACAUUACAUUGAGAAAAAACAACUCUGAUAAGAUUAUGUACCUUUGCUACACAUUUAUGGCCUGAUUUACAGAGGUCCUGACUGCCCUCAGAUCCCACUAAUGAUCAUGGGAGCUGCAGAAACCUAGCACCUGUGAAAAUCAGGCCAUUAAUUAAAAAUAUCAAGAUGUUUUGUAAUUUCCCUAAAGGUAAGACUGUAUAAGUUAGGCGGGUUUCUGCAGGCUUCAGUAAAUCUGGGAGGUGUGUAAGAGUGGGAGCUACCUAGUGAAAGGGAAUUGGGUGGAGGGGGGUUGCAGAAGAGACUGAUAUGCACCUAAUAGCUGGUCCUGUGCAUCCUGUCUGUUUUACCUUCUAGUGUUUGCAUUAUAGGGGUCCAGGAAGACACCACUUCUGUGACUCAUGUCUGUGUCUCUACUUUCCUGCACCUCUAUUUCCCACCAUUCAACUUCUGCUUCCAUUCCCUUGCUUGAUUUUUGCACACUCCUGUUUGUGCUUUCUUUAUAAAAACCUUGCUUCCAGGAAAGCUUGGCAGCACUGACGACACUAUCUUGGGUUCUCUGCCAGCUUCCCUUCCGUGCUAAGUAGUUCAGGUGGUUUCAUUUGGCAGUAUUAUACCAUGUAAUAGCAUAUAACCUAGAGGAGUGUGACUAAGAAGCUAAUUCAUGGCACCAGUUCACUUCAGUCAGUUUUACAUGCUGUUGUGCUGCUAUCACAUGACAGGGAUCAUUAUCCCGCGGUUACUCUUACAGUAGUUGAUAUCAGUUUGCACUGCCUCCUUAUGUAGAGGGCUACUGUUCUGCCCUUGCAAAGAUUUGAAACAACUUGGGGAGAAGUAACUGGCUUGCUUAUUUACCCCCACCUCCUGAUGUUGGAAUUAUUAUUAAUGCAGGUUAUUACCAUGACACUAGUUUACCAUUUAGCCUUUGGAUUUAAUAAAGGAGUUUAUGGUUAUUUAUAUAAUUGCUGUAAAUAUCCCUCAAAGGUAAUACAUUAAUUUAUUACCUCUAAACAGUAGAAUUUGAUAGGAUACUUAAACUGACUAAAGUCAUGGCCACUUAGACCUGUUUUGGUCAGCUCCAACUUGAUCAGGUGAGUGCUAGCAAUGAAUUAUUUGAGAGUUUACUUUUUUAUAUUCUUUAAACACACGUAAUUUCAUUGCCAAUUAUCAGGUAUUAGCUAAGAACAGAUGGAGUUUUAUAUAGGCAUUUAUUGCACUUAGUAUCCAAUUAACUUAUUUGUUACUUCAGGCCAAACCUCAAGUAAGAUAACACUGGUAUUCUGGAGGGACACUUAAGUUUAACACUUUUCUGGUCUCUUUCUGGUCACAUGCUUUGGGCCUGCUCAUGCCAAUAUCCCAACUCCAUUUUAAAGCCAUAGUUUACGCAGAUCUAAGGUGAACCUAUAUUCCCACAGUUGAGCAGCAGGACCCAGAAUUUUCUGAGUCGGGCUAGUCCAACUCUUUAAGCAUUGGAUCCAAAGUGCACUAAAAUGAAUGGGAGUCUUUCCAAUGAGGUUUAAGUCAGGCCCUGAUGGCAGCCAGGAGCUAUAUAUACACCUCAUUGCAGGGGAUUUAGAAAUCCUCAAUUCGCUCCUCCCCUAAGAUGUCCUUGGGAGGGAGAGAGUUGGCUGUGUACACUAGGGAGGCCAAUGAUGUGGAUUGAUUCUCAACUGGUUUGGCUAGGCUUUCAUGCUGUGGGGUGUCUAUUCUCAUUGUUUUGAGGUAUAAUAAUCAUUUAUUUCUGUUCUGCCCUUUGGCAAACACCAUUUUUUAAAAAGAGCAAAGCCUUGAGACACUUCUAAA